ACUGUCAACAUGUGGAUAUGAAAACGAAAGUAAAUUAUUUAUCGUGGAAUAAUUACAACUGUUUACCCUUCUACGUGGAAUUUAUAUGGUAAUGGUAUGAAUUGAGAUGAUUUAUUUAGUUACCUUCAACUGGUCAGUGGUCAACAAGAGAGUAUUACUGUGUGUCUUGAAACAUUGAAUGCCCCAAAACAACCAGUAUGAUAAGAAGGCCAGAGUAUACAGCUUCCCAAAAUGUUGAAAGACUAUUAGUAAGCUGUUUUUUUUCUAAGGACUUGUAUACUAUCUAGGUUGAAAUUAGCCGUGGACAAUGAAUUUGGAGGUGCAUGCUGGAGCAUCAGAAAUUACAGACUUGGAAUAGAUAUUUGCAUAAUAUACAAGUAACAUUUACUGAAAAAUGACUAAUGUUUAUGUUAAUAAAGUGCAAUAUCCAUGCUUGUAACAUUUACAUGGGGGUAAUAGUUACAGUGUUGAAAGAGACUGCCAGUGUUACAUUUCAAUCUAAGUUACAGUGUGGAUGCUAAUUCUAAUUUCUUGAUAGUCAAGUGUUUUUUAUAACUUAUGGAUACUAAUUAUUUAUCAAACUGUUUAAUUUAUCACAUUCCUACAUCAUUAUUUUACAUAAAAUGUUUGUGGUUAUAUAAUAUAUGUUUAUAUGGUAAUAAAUUUUGUUUCUG
rnacentral:lncRNA from 1 species